GAUGCGGUGACUAGUGAAAGCUGACGUCAAUUACGUGACGUCUUGUCGAACCAUCGAAUUGCUAUUUCGUUGCCCUGCUGAGUACAUGAAGUUGCCAGUUACAGAUGGGUUAUAUUUUGUGAAUUGUGUUCGUGUGUUCAGUUUUCAGUAUGUUACGCGAAACGCAAUGUACAUAAGACUAUGUACAAUUUUGUACAUAAACCGUUCUUAAGCAAUAUUUAAUGAUACCUAGAAGACUCUUGCUGUGUUUGGAGGUCAUUUGCAUGCAGUUCGUAAACAAUGGUCACACAUUCGGUCCAGAGAUGAAUAUUUCAGAGUGUCGGUGAUAUACUGAAAGCGGAGAAUUGUAGGUAGGUACAUACAUGAAAUUGUGAUAAUGAUUUUUUUCACGUAUUGGUUGAAGUUUGAUCUUAAAUUAGAUAACAAGACUGCUCCAGUCGAGUGUCUCCGAAUAGGUAUAGAUGAACUGGCCAAAACUGAGUAUUUAUUUCAUUUAUUCAAUUUAAUUUUUCCACCUCAAAUGUACUAGUAAGUUAAUGAAUUUAAUGUGUAUAAUAAACGAUUAGUAUAUACAUA